GAAGACUAUUCAAGAGAUGAAGAUGUAUAGCCUACAUCAUAGAGCUGCUAGGCAGUAUCCCAAAGCACUUUACUCUAUUUGUAAAAUGUUUUGGGGAAUUCUUCAAUUACAAAGGAGAACUGCAGCACAUCACCAGGCUAAAGCCCUAGACCCUUUCUGAUGUACUUGUGGAAAAGUAUAGCUGGUCCCGUGAAGAUGUGGCACAGUUUAUAAAUUUUCUGAUAUUAGAAAUGCUUCCAGAAAAUUAAGCUUUGGUUGGCAAAUGUCUUUGGCAUGCUUGGUUGAAU
rnacentral:lncRNA from 1 species